CAACACGUCCACUGAUUCUGCCAACUGGAGCUGGAUUUUUGGCACCACAGUAAGAAUAGCCAGGACAUCCAAAGCAAAGCGCACAGUGUCUUUCCUUUUGCACUCUCAUUCUCUCAUUGCAUAGUAAGAGAGUCUUCCAGAGAUGAUGUGAUGUCACAAAAACUGAAUACAGAAGCAGAUAUGAGAUAUUAGGCCAGACAUUUUUUCAAACUUGCUAAAAUUAUCUGGUUUUAUUUUGGAAAUUUUUCAUGAAUAAC
rnacentral:lncRNA from 10 species